UACAGGGGGGGCAAGCGUUGUUCGGAAUUACUGGGCGUAAAGGGCUCGUAGGCGGCCAACUAAGUCACACGUGAAAUCCCCAGGCUCAACCUGGGAACUGCGUGUGAUACUGGAUGGCUUGAAUUCGGGAGAGGGAUGCAGAAUUCCAGGUGUAGCGGUGAAAUGCGUAGAUAUCAGGAGGAACACCGGUGGCGAAGGCGGAUCUCUGGGCCUUACCUGACGCUGAGGCGCGAAAGCUAGGGGAGCGAACAGG
rnacentral:rRNA from 1 species